rnacentral:rRNA from 1 species
UACGUAGGGAGCAAGCGUUGUCCGGAAUUACUGGGCGUAAAGGGUGCGUAGGUGGUCAUGUAAGUCAGAUGUGAAAGACCGGGGCUUAACCCCGGGGUUGCAUUUGAAACUGUGUGACUUGAGUACAGGAGAGGGAAGUGGAAUUCCUAGUGUAGCGGUGAAAUGCGUAGAUAUUAGGAGGAACACCAGUGGCGAAGGCGACUUUCUGGACUGUAACUGACACUGAGGCACGAAAGCGUGGGGAGCAAACAGGAUUAGAUACCCUGGUAGUCCACGCCGUAAACGAUGGAUACUAGGUGUGGGGCCCGAUAGGGUUCCGUGCCGAAGCAAACGCAUUAAGUAUCCCGCCUGGGGAGUACGAUCGCAAGGUUGAAACUCAAAGGAAUUGACGGGGGCCCGCACAAGCAGCGGAGCAUGUGGUUUAAUUCGAAGCAACGCGAAGAACCUUACCAAGGCUUGACAUCCUCUGACGACUGUAGAGAUACAGUUUCCCUUCGGGGCAGAGAGACAGGUGGUGCAUGGUU